GUCAGGAUAGCUCAGCUGGUAGAGCAGAGGACUGAAAAUCCUUGAAUCACUGAUUGAAAUCUGGCUCCUGGCA
rfam:Cajanus cajan chromosome 10, whole genome shotgun sequence.